AACGCACGUAUAUUUCAUGUUAAGUAUUUUUUUUUUUUAAGAAAACCAUAUGAGUUAUAUGAUGUGCAUAUUUUUAAAAUGUUUUUUGUUCUAGUAUUUCUUCCAUGCCUAGUUACUUAUCCAGUUAUCAAUCAACCUUCUUUCAUCUCUACAUUUAAUUGGGAAGAUUUAUACUUGCAGAUUUAUAUGAAAUAAUACUUACCUUCUUCUCUGUAACUAUGAGUGUGUUAUCACCCCCUAUGGUCUUAGCAUUUUCUUACAUGAUCACUAUGGAAACUUUGUUAAGUAACGUUGAGACUUGUAAUUCAUAUUCAUUUAAAAGUUACAUCACUACUUAUUUCAUAACCUCCGCUUCAUUCAUAAGUACAUAACUCUCUUUUAUUAUGGUGGAGUAUAACUAUUUAAUUUUUAAGUAAAAUUUUCGGUCGAGUCUUAUUGUGUAUCGAAUUAACUUUAUUAGAGAGUGUUUUAUGUUUUACUCUGAAACUUUCUUGGCGUGAAUGCGAAGAAAGUUACUAGUCAAUCCAUCAAUGAAUUUAUUUUUAUUUCCAAAAAAAGAAACUUUCUCUCGAAUGACUAAAAGCUUGUUUAGAUGAGUUUAUAGAUUAUUACUUAAAAGCAUAGCCAUGCCAAAAUCUGGAAAAAAAGAGAGAAGAAGAUGAGGGUGAUCACUCAGAAUGAUAAGCCAUGCCAAAAUCUGGAAAAAAAGAGAGAAGAAGAUGAGGGUGAUCACUCAGAAUGAUAAGCAGUGAAGGUGCUCGACAAAAUGGAUGAGAGAAAAAAAAAAAUCAAAGAGCACUUGUGCUCCUAACUGGAUAUGGAAACAGAGAGAAAAAAUCUUACAAAUGGAUGAAGCCGAGAGAAGAUGGUGCAAUGUUAAAUUAGGUUUGCCAAAAGUUAGUUCGAAAGAGGAGGAAACCUUAUAAGAGUCCACCCAUCUCAUUAACCAAAGAUAUGAGACUUUUGUCCUUCUUUAAUAUGCAAUGAGUUAAAAGAUUGAUUCCCAGAUUGCAAAAUAUUUGCAGGACAACUAUAGCUCCGGAUACUCGAGCCCAAGCACCAUCCUCUGCUGCUUUUCAGAUAUGCAGCACUGGAAGUGUGCAGGACAAUGCUGGGAAGCCUUAACUGAGUGGCUACAUCAUCAACGAAAAUCAUGACAUUAUCAUAAACGAUACAAGCAAGCUGAUCACCUUCCUCUUUCAUCUUCUUAACAAGAAUGGAAGACGAAUUCAGGAUGAUUGGAAUAUUUAGGAGUAUUCAAUUCAGGAUGUGCUAUUAUAACAGAAAAGCCUUGAGAAUAAAGGAUACUUCCAAGCUGCAGCAUUGGUGUUAAAUGCCCCUGGAAUGGAAGUGGUGUUGGCGGAGGGAGCCGUGAUGGCAAGGCAGAAAUGAAGUCUACCAAAUCAUUCAGAUUCUUUUGUGAAGUGCCAUCAAUCUGCAUUCCAGCAACUAUCUUUUGUUUCAUGUCUACUACUCUUUUCUUCACAUCUU